AUGGGCGAAAGCCAUGACGGAGCAAUACCGCGUGAGGGAUGACGGCCUAUGGGUUGUAAACCUCUUUUUUCAGGGAGGAAUCAAUGACGUGUACCUGAAGAAUAAGCAUCGGCUAACUCCGUGCCAGCAGCCGCGGUAAGACGGAGGAUGCAAGUGUUAUCCGGAAUCACUGGGCGUAAAGCGUCUGUAGGUGGUUUGAUAAGUCAACUGUUAAAUCUUGACGCUCGUCUUCAAAAUCGCAGUCGAAACUAUUAGACUAGAGUAUAGUAGGGGUAAAGGGAAUUUCCAGUGGAGCGGUGAAAUGCGUAGAUAUUGGAAAGAACACCGAUGGCGAAGGCACUUUACUGGGCUAUUACUAACACUCAGAGACGAAAGCUAGGGUAGCAAAUGGGA
rnacentral:rRNA from 1 species